GCAACGCGGCCUUCAUAUCCAAAACAAUCAGCCCUGUUCAUAAAAUAUCACGUGAGGAGUUAUAUAACUCCACACAAAUGCCAGCAGCAUUAACAGCAGAUGGCCGUUGGCUUACCAGGUAUGUGGAGAAUUUGUGGGAACCAGCGGUACGGGAACCAGCGGUACGGGAACCAGCGGUACGGGAACCAGCGGUACGGAAGCAUUAGGCAGGACUCCGGUUUAAAGCUGCGCAUGAAGGACAAAUGGUUCAAAUAGGAGCCAUGGACUUUGGACCCGUAAUGGAGGAAUUCAGCGGACUGUGCGCAAAAGGGAAAUAACGGUUCCCGGAGGCCCUAUAUAAAUCCGCAGGACACUGGCAGCUGGAGCAUCAGUCGAUCACGAGGAGUAAAAGCAUUAAGAUCAGAUAUCAAAGUGAAUAGUCAAACAACCAAGCAAACUACAAGGGGGCCGGAACUAUUAGAGUCGUGGGAGCCUACAAGGAGCAAGAUCGCUACGUCAAGACGUUAGGUAUUGGGAAACUAGGAAUCUCCGAAUUGAGUAGUUUAGGUCCAGAGGGCAUCACACGGCUAGGUCAAGGCAAUAUAUUUAUUCCUGUCAAAGAAAUUCUGGCGUUACGCCUGUAGAGUUUGUCGGAGUUUGAGUAGUGAAGGCCGACGACUAAAAUUCGUGAGCUCGAGGGUAAGCCUGUCUAAAUCCAGUGUGACUCGCCCCAAGCAUUACUUGGCGUGCCCAGGCGUGAGCCCCGUGCGUCCAGUGGAAUUGAGCACGUCCUGGCUCGAUCAUCCAGAAGGCUCGUGAACUUCGAUAGCGGCGUGUCCGAACCCCGAAUAUAACGAGCCAGAAGGGAAAGCGGUCGAUCAGUACGGUCUCAAGUGUAUUUUUCCAGGAGAGCGUACGGUUCCAACCCGUGAAGUCCCGGAUCGGCGUUUGCCAUAGACGCCGAUUACCAGAAGCCACACUACGUCCACACAGCCAUCAGCAAGAAUGACACCACAUCGCGACAACCACGCAAGACAGAGCGAGCCCCGCAGGAACAUCACGGACGGUAAGCUUCAGGCUUGGGUGGAACAUUCGGUUAGACUAGGCGCAGAAACGAAGUGGAGCGCGAGGCAGCUUCCUGGCGUUGGCCUUGAUUGUUAGCGCGAUCUGAGCAGAAACCCCAUCCGGGACAGAGCAAGGGACAGGCGGUCGUUCGUCUUCCCUAUCAAGCGAGCAAGUAUCUUCAGGGAGCUACAGGACUGGAGCACCAACGAGGCGAGAGGAAAUCGAGGCAACUAGAAACGUCGAAGACAUUGAGGGCCACAAGUGGCGAUAUCGAGGCCACCCAAGUUACCAAGCCGCCCGUAAUAAUACACCCGGGUUUAUUGGGUUUAUUACCCAUUUCGAACACGUGAA